UGACGUGCCAGGUGGCUCAGGCUGCUGCAGCAACAGAAGAACAGCAGAGCUGGCUUUGAGCCUGGCCUGGGGUUUCUUUCUACACAGAUGCAACCACUGUCCUUAUUUGCCACUUCCCAUGCAGGACUGUGUCAUCCAUUAAGAAGGCAUACGGAAGAGGAAAAGAAUCCCUGGAGUGGGAAAAGGAGGGACUGCAGGGAGCAUGCCCGUGGCUGCGUGCAUAAGGGACGUAUUUCCCAUUUGCCCCCAUGUGUGCUGAGCUGGUUGCCCAAAGACCUUGGAGGAGCACAGAGGCGCUUUCUGUUACAACUUCCUGCUCUUUGUUUAAGAAAAUACAUUAACGGGAGGAAGAGAGUUCUCACUACAAUCCUGAUUACUAUUUCCUUCCAUUCCAUCAAAAUGACUUCUUCCCAGCCCAGCCACCCCACCAGCCGCUCUCCUCAGCCCGGGGAGCUUUUGAACUCCCUUCAUCUUUUCUGCAGUUAACUUUUUGCAGAUUUCAGCAAGACUCCUGGGCUGUGUGUAUAAAAGUAUAAUUUAAGCAGUGACAAAUAGAAAGCACAUGCUUAUUAAAGAUACAUUAUACAACUCA